CCUACGGGAGGCAGCAGUGGGGAAUAUUGCACAAUGGGGGAAACCCUGAUGCAGCGACGCCGCGUGAGUGAAGAAGUAUUUCGGUAUGUAAAGCUCUAUCAGCAGGGAAGAAAUAGCGACCUUUGGGUCGCCAGACGGUACCUGAUUAAGAAGCCCCGCCUAACUACGUGCCAGCAGCCGCGGUAAUACGGAGGGGGCAAGCGUUAUCCGGAUUUAUUGGGUGUAAAGGGAGCGUAGACGGCAGCGAAAGUCUGAAGUGAAAUGCCGGGGUUUAACCCCGGAACUGCUUUGGAAACUGUGCAGCUAGAGUGCAGGAGAGGUAAGUGGAAUUCAUAGUGUAGCGGUGAAAUGCGUAGAUAUCAGGAGGAACACCGGUGGCGAAGGCGGCUUACUGGACCAUAACUGACGUUGAGGCUCGAAAGCGUGGGGAGCAAACAGGAUUAGAUACCCCAGUAGUC
rnacentral:rRNA from 1 species